rnacentral:snRNA from 1 species
GGAUGUGAGGGCAAUCUGGCUGCGACAUCUGUCACCCCUUUGAAAUCCAGGGUUGAUUCAGCUGAUCUGGUUGGCUAGGCAGGUGUCCCCUUCCUCCCUCACCGCUGCAUGUGUGUCCCUCCUGAAGCUGCACGCUUGGUGGAAGAGGACAACCAUCCCCACUAGAGGAGGCCCAGUCUUCGGUCAAGGGUAUACAAGCAGCUGCACUGCCCUGCUAUAACCUCCAAACAAGCUCUCAAGGUUUUAUAUACUGUUAAGUAUCAAGAGAGCAAGAGAGGGGUUGGCAUGAUGGUGUAGCAAACUAGGCCUCUGCUUGUGGCACCAGUGUCCCAUGUGGGCACCAGUU